rnacentral:lncRNA from 1 species
UUGGUAUCAAAAUAGUUUAUUAAAAAAAAAUAAAUUAGUAUAGAGACGUGCCAUUAUGAUUAGGGCAAUCUUAACCGUUCAAUGGAAGGUUGGAUAAGAGGAUGAUAAAACUUCUAUGUUGUAGGAGAAACAUAGAAAGCUUGCCCAUACGUCACUUGAAACGAUGCUCACAAGCGCCGCCACUUGAAACGACGCUCACAAGCGCCUUAUCCCUCUGUUCGCCCCAACCUUCAACCGUUCGGCCCUCAUCCUUCCCCUCGCCACAACCCACAACGUCAGGAAUCAAGACAAACCCAAAACCUCAGUGAUCAAUGAAUUAGAAAAAAAUUUAGGGCAAAAGAAUCAUAAAAUCUCACUUAUCUCAUACAUUUUAAAGAGAUUGAUUGGGCAAACAAAUUUUUUUUACAUCUUAGUCACAAUCAGACUUUCUCUAUAAGAAAUGAAUUCACUAGCCACAAUCAGACUCUCUCCCAGAAAUGAAUUUAUUGAAAUCUUGAAAAAAUGAAUUCACUAACCACAAUUAGACUCUCCCUAAUAAAUAAAUUCCAAAAUAGAGACUCUCCUUCAUAUAAUGCCUACUGCAAUCCCUCUUCUGGUUGUUGCUCGUUUAAUCAUCAAAUUGAUCAUUUCGGCCUUAAGAUGCAUGGACGUGAAAAAAAUAGAUUUCAAGUUUUGAAAAUAAUGUAUCUUGUAAUGCAUUUUUAGACGGUCAAUUUUCAAGUGUUUAUAGAUCUGCUCAAUCUAUAUUAUUUUUUAAACUUUAACUUUUAUAAUUAGAGAUGAAAAUAAAUUUUCAGGCUAUCAUGAAGAUUUCUAGUACUGAAACAACGUCUUCCACGGUGUGCCCUACUAUAAUUGUUUAAAGCCUCGGCCUUAUACAUACCACACCAUUUCUCUUAUUACAUAGAGGUCACAAUUACUCCUAGCCAUUAGAUGGCUUGGGGCAUAUGAAAUUUGAGAAAAAAAGUUUUGUACUUUGAGACUACUUAAAGACACUCUUAUAAAUACCCGAUUUGAAAUAUAAUUGAACAAUAUUGAUUGUGACCUUCUUAUACCAAAAGUAAAUGGUCUUUUUAUAUAUUUUCCCUUUUGUAUGAAUAGAAGAUCAUGAACCCAAGGCACUUACAAAUUUAGCGUACCUAAGUUGGAGUGUUCUAUACCGCUUAUCUAUUGGGCAAAACAUGGAGGGAGGAAUUUUUAAAAAAAUUUGGAUCCUCACCAUUGGAUCAUCAUAUAGGUAUUUCCAAGAAAAAAAAUUGAAUACCUAGACACCAAGAUCUAACCAUCCAACCUUGGAUGGUCUCUAUUCCAUCUUAAAAUGAUUUUGGUUAGGUGAUAUUUCAAAAAUUUAGGAUUUUUACAGCCUUUAGAGCCCUUUCUGAAUUUAAAACAAAUAAAUAACAAUUUAAAACACGAAAAGCUUAUUGCCCUACAAUAUUCAUCAACCACCCGUUAUGGUCAGAAGAUCACUAAUACUAGGCAAAAUAUUCAUCGAUACACUGCUAGUGGUAUUAUCAUAGUAAAAUAUUCAUCAAAGAUUUACAAGGCUAGUAAUUGGGUUUCCAACUAUUCAUUACCACCUUCCAACAACAAUUAAUUGUUUUUGACAACUUUGAUGAUGGGUGGAAUUCUGUUGAAAAAUUUUGAAAAGCAUAAGAGCUGCUAACCAUUGUAGGGAGGCAGAGUGCAAGCUAGAACCAGGAUUGGAUUUACCGACUUGGGCCGGUUACCUGACCAUGAACUAGGUUCGGCUGACAUGGAACCGGUUUGAGUUAGGCAGGUCUCAGCUAGACCAAUUUUUAAAAAAAAAAAAAGUCCAACAAAAUUAUGACAAUUAUGUUUAAAGAUUAAACAAAAUACAUUUAAAUAAGGUUAAAAAAAGUAGUGAAAAAUUAGAUUUUAAAAAAUCAAUUUCUAAGCAGGGGUAUUUAGAAACAAUCUAAAUAUGAAGGAAAAAUGUUAAUGAGUAGGCGAAAGCACUUUCCAACCUUUGUCAAAAUAUUAGAGAAAAAAAAAUAACAAAUUUUUUUUUUUCUUUUGAAGUUUUAAUUUAUUUUUUGAAUUUUUUUUAAAAUCUUCAGCUUGACCAACGAAACCGGCCAAAACUGGAAUCCGGGUAAGCCGGCUAGGUCCUGGUCAACCCAGCCAAUUUUGCGAACAUUGGCUAGAACAACUGAACUUCUAAAAUAAACUUAUUAGUUUGUUUUUCAAACUAGAGGCCCAACCAUAUGUGCGUAGCACAACUGUACCCUCACUUAGAAAAACAAUCAAAUUUCAUACAUUAAUAGUAACACUGGUAUUUGAUAUUUGUUGAACAUAUGUCUUAUUUAAAUAGGAUCAUAUAUAAUUAGGCUAUUUAUCUUUGUUACAAGAACAAGAAGGGCAAAGUUUUUCAAAUUGGAUAGUUUGGGGUGGGUCAUGAGUUUGAGAUUUUUUUUAUUUUUUUUUCUAAUCUUUGAGUCUAACCAAUGACAUUGUUACAAUCACCCGAUAUGAAUUAUGAUGAACAAGAGUUAUUCUGACCUCCUUGUACCAAAAGUAAAUUAUCUCUUUGUAUAUUUUUCCAAUUUAAGAAUCACAAUUUCAUCAAUUUUCUAGUUUCAAGUGAAAAUAAAGAAUUUAAUCCUUUCCUAUUUUUGGGAUUUUAAAAUACGCUUCGUUUCACGUAAAAAAAUAAGGAUAUGUUACAGUUCUAUGUUUUAUUUUAAAUCAUGAGUUUUUAUUGUUUAAAUGAUUUACUAAUUUUAAUUAAUUGAAAGCAAUAAUUAAAAGAUGGGAUCAUAUACAAUGAGACAAUUUACCUUUGGUACAAGGAUGUUACAAUUAUAUAUAUCCAUAAAUUGUAAAAUCUAAUAGCUUGGAUGUAUCACAAAGUUCGAGAAAAAAAAAUUUGAACCUUGAGUUUGGUCAAUGAAAUAAAGGCCAAUUUUACAUCCAAUGGUCAAGAUUAAUUAUGACCCUCUUGUAUUAAAGGAAAAUGGUCACAUUAUAUAUUUUCUCUUAAAUAUGGUUGGCAACCUGGAAUAAUGUCCUUACUAUUGAUAAUUUGAUCAAAAGGGAGAAAAUUUUACCUAAUAUUUGCCUUUUAUGCAAGGCGGAUGAGGAAACUGGUCCCCACUUAUUUAUACAUUGACUUUUCACAGUUAGAUUUAGGUAUUUGCUUUUCAACUUAAUCGGGUCUCUAUCGUCGUCGAGAGUGGCUAGUAUUAUUUAUCAACUAUCCAUUCCUCAUCUGCUGAAGAUAGGGAAAUAUCUUUGGUUGAUUGAAAAGGGAGUCAUCUUAUGGGAAGCAUGGAGAAAGAUGAAUAGACAUACUUUUUGAGGGGAAGUCUUUAUUUUUUUUCGGUUUUAUUAAACAAUAUCAAACUCUUGGAAUUCAAUUUCUAUUUAUAAGAAAGGAAAGAAUAUUGGCAUGAUAGAUGUAAUGGCUAAUUUUGGUAGCCUUUUCUUGUUGGGGAGACCAGGUACAAGGUUUAGAAACUUUUGGAUAGUGGCUCCUAGUGACUAUUGAAAACUAAAUUUUGAUUGUCGUUCAUUGGGGAAUCUAGUUUAGUAGAACUGCCAACUAUGCCGAGCUGAAUAUUUUACUGUGUGGGGUUAAAAUUUUAGUCGAGAAAUUUCCGACUCGCUCGUGUAUCUGUGAAGGGGACUAUUUCAAUGUUGUUAAAUAGUGUAAAAAGUAACAACGCCUCCUAUAGGAACUUCGUAGCAAAUAAUGGAUUUAGUUGAAACAAUCUCUGUAUUGUUGAUAUUGAUAGGAAAGCUAAUGCUCUAUCAGAUUCUUUGACAAAGGGUGGGAUGCUUUUAUCUUCCUUUGUUGUUUGAGAUGAUGUAAUAUAUUUUUCUUCUCAAGAAUCUAAAAUAUUUAUAUUAUCAAAAUAAAAGCCUUUAAAAAAUAAGGGGUAUGAUGCUAUCUCAAGUUCUUAUUUUAUAUGAUCAAACUUAUUAAAAGUAAAAUAAAAAUCAUGAUACAUUCAUAAUUUUUAUAGUUUAAAUUAUGAAGUCUUAUUUAUAUUAAGAACAGUGUAUAGUACGAUUUUUGCCAAUUUAAAAUAUAAUUUCGUUACUAAUGCUAAUCGAAUGCAUGUGUAUUAAAUGUUUUAAACAUAAAAAGAACAUAUAGAUUUAAUUUAUAAAAAAACCAGUCAAAUAAAUGUAAAUAGAACACAAUGAACAAUAAAAUAUAGGAGAUCUCAAUAAUAAUCACUCUUAAAACUAUCAACUUGAAAUUAAUAAAGCAUGAAUUUUAAAAGAUCAAAAAUAUAAGUACAUGUUUAAGUAAGAGGAAAAGAGUACAAAUCCAACUAUCAUAAACCAAUGUAUUACAAAAUUAAUCACUAGUCAAUGAAAAAUCAGACAAACUAAUCGUGAUAGAGAAUUACAUAGAACACAAUCACAAUAAUAGAUUGACAAAAAUAUUUCACUUGAAUGAAUAUACCUCUUUAGUCUCCUCCAAUGAUCCAGCAUAUUUUAUUGUCGAAUGGAGGUUUUAAAUUUGAUCCCAAUUGAUGUAGUAAAUUUGAUUUUCCAAUUUUGUCAGUUUUUUAUUUAGUCUCGUGUUAUUGGAAUUUUAUGGAGGGAGACAAAAGGCUUUUAUAACACACACAAAAAUGAGGUUGAUAACAAUAUAAACAUUUUAUUCCGAAGCUUCAUCUUCU